UACGAAGGGGGCUAGCGUUGUUCGGAAUCACUGGGCGUAAAGCGCACGUAGGCGGACAGUUUAGUCGGGGGUGAAAGCCCGGGGCUCAACCUCGGAAUUGCCUUCGAUACUGGCUGUCUUGAGUACGGGAGAGGUGUGUGGAACUCCGAGUGUAGAGGUGAAAUUCGUAGAUAUUCGGAAGAACACCAGUGGCGAAGGCGACACACUGGCCCGUUACUGACGCUGAGGCGCGAAAGCGUGGGGAGCAAACAGG
rnacentral:rRNA from 1 species